AUCAGAAAAAAUAUGGGACAUAAGCAAAUCAUUAUAAUAACUUUAUUUUGUCUUAUGUGAAACAUCCUCUUUCGAGCAAUUUGAAGUAUUUUACAUCUUUGUAGGACAAUACUUGACAUGUUCUAUUUCUGAAUUGAAAUAUUUGUGCAGACUACUAAAAAUUCAUAGAUGCCCUUAAGCUGAGGGUUCUUUUGUUUGUGUGCACAAAAACCUUUGAGGAGUUAAGUGUUAUGUAUUGAAAAUGUAAUAGUGGGAAAAUUUUCUAUCUAUCAAUCUUUGGGUCUGUCAUCUACUUGUACAGUGCUUAUCACCCUAUCAUCUAUUUGCUACAUAUUUUCUCAAGAUAUAUGGUUUGUAGUUUUCUCUAUAUUUACGGCAAAUAAUGAUUUUUGAUGUUUAUAUAUUCUUAUUUCCCUUUUGAGAAAGAUCAAGAUAACAGUGCACAAUAAUGGAAAGAAUGAGACAAAUAGUUGACUUUUCAACAUUCCAUAAAAACUUUGAAGAUCAAAUCAGCAGUUCAAUAGCCUGAGAAGUUACAGGCAAUCACAGGAAGACAAGAGACAAACUUGGAACUCUUCCAAAAGACCCAAGUAAACAGAGAGGAAGUUUUGGAAGAUUGAAUCAGAGCCAGAAUAAACUAGGAUUUCUGUUUAAGAUGGAUAUUACAAAAGGAACUGAAAAAUGAUUCAGGGAGAUACGUUUAGAUCUGGAAUCAGGCAAAGUUGUUUUAAUUAAACUUUUUAGAAUUAAGAUAUUAACUUGCAUCAGUAUUAAUUUACAUGAGAGACUAUUAAGGAUAUACAGAAAAGGUAUUUGACUAAUCACACCUUUUUUCCUCCUUAGUAUCAAUGCCUAUGGUCAAUUAAGUGGGAAAAAAAUCAAACUAAUUUCAUGUAGUUGCUAAUAUAGUAAAAUAAAAUUUGUGUUUUAUAAAAUUA